AAGCCACACUGAUGACACUCAAGUUAUGGAUUAAAUUCUCACCUGAGUAAGGAAGCAACGUUCUUAUUUAUAGACACACACUGAAAACACAAUCCAUGAAAGACAUUGAGGUCAUAGGAAAGACUGAAUGGUAAGGCAAAUAUUACAACUCAGAGCAUUGAUGGGGAAAGAUUAGGUGUUAUAUCAAAUGUGGAAUCUUGUAAUGAUAGAGUUGUAGACUUGGAAGUGAUUUGAGAAAUAACUUUUUCCAUUCUUUUGCCUAGCUUGGUAACACCACUUAACCGUUCUGACAGACGGUUGGGGAUGUCCAGAGUUGAGAAACUUACUACCUGGUGUGGUAGUUUGGUCCACGACCAGAAACUGCAUGUGUGGGAAGGUCAGGGGGCAGGUCUGAGGUGAAAGCUCAACUUCUUCAUCUCUAAUGUCUCUAAACCUAGCCUGAUCUUAAACUUUGAUCCCAGAAACCCAAGGAGCACUAUAUGACUGUUUCCUGCAGAGUUGUUUAAGGCUACGGUGGCAGUAACAUGAGGAGAGAAAAAGACUGCAUCUGAUUUUCCAGUGAUUGCCUUGUGCACAGGAAAAUGGGAGAUAAUCAUUGGGAAAACAUGGCAGACGCCAAGCUGUGAGUUGGCUGGUGGACAAAUCUGCAUGACAAGCUACCAAAGAGGCCCCCAGCCAACAGCCAUCUGGGAUCUGAGGACCUCAGUCCACCGGCCUUGGAGGACCCAUGGGUGAACCUGACAGCAGACCACCUCCCUGCAGAGCCUGCAGAUGAGAGCACAGCCCUGGCCAGCCUUGAUGGCAGCCUCUUGGGAACCCUGGAGCCAGCAGACCCUGCUAAGCCACAUUUGCAGUCCUGACCACAAUUAUCAAUGAUGAAAAUGACCAUAGAUGCGGAUUUCGAUGAAGUUUCAUGACACCUGGAUCCAAAAACAGAACAGUGCCAGUAUCCUAGGAGCUCUCUGACGUCUCUCCUCCAGGUGUAACCACCAUCCUGACUUUGAAUUUUGUAGAUCAGCUUUGCCUAUUUUGGUCACUAAAUGAAUAGAACCAUGUUACAGUAUGUACUUUUUAAUGUCUGGCUUCCUUUUCUAUAUUAGGUGGCAGUUCUUUUGUAUUAUAAUAUUUUAUACCAUAUGUAUUUUAUAAAUACAUAUUUAUUUUAUUGUGCAUAUUUAUUUUAAUCUCCACAUGUUAAUUGUACAAAUAUGCCACAUUUUAUUUGUCCAUUCUAUUAUAGCAUAUUUUAAAACAUAUUCCUAGGAGUGGAAUGAGUAGUUUAUUCUGUGCAUUCUUACUUAGUAGAUAAUGCUAAAUAGUUUUCCAAAGGGAUUUCCACCUUACCAGUCAUGCCCAAGGUCAAUCUUAUAUUGCAUUAUUUCAGCAGGAUUCUUUGUCAAUUCUCAGUUCAGCACAGGACCAAGGAUGCCAUGGUAUUUUAAUGGCAUACUUUAUUGCUAAUUCUACUAGCAAUAAGAAGAAUAAGGUGAUCUUUUGAAUACUUACUUGUUUGGAGUACUAGUUUUCAGAAUGCAAGAUAGAGCCAGCACUUCAUUGAGUGUGAUUACUUUACAUAUACUGAGCAUUAACAGGAUGAAACAUUAGCAGCUAGUUAGAAUACAUAGAAUCCAUGUUGUCCUUAAAUUAGACUUUUUAAAAAAUAGCCAGGAUUAAGGAAAAAAAUCAAAGUCUAAAGCUUUUAUCUUAUGUUUCCAAUAUGGAGGUUAUUUAAGUGAGCCUGGAUUUUUUAAAGCUUAAAUUUCAUGGAUAAUGGCCUUUAUUUUCUGGAUAACAUUGCUAGCAAAGGUACCACUGAAGCCUAUUGCUUUCCACAAUAGAGAAAGCUUUUAUUGUAUUAUACCUAUUAUUCAAUUUCAUGUCAUAAUAAUAUUUUGUUGAUCUACAUGGGUUUUUAGCUUUGUGCACUUGAUAAAGUUAAUCGGAAUAUUACCAAAGAUACCCAGCAUUUCUUUGUAAUGAUCAGCACAAAAGGGGGAUUCCUUUAUUGGAGCUAUAAUUUUUGAAUUCAUGGUUAUAGCUAAGACAAAAGAACAAUUUUUAUGAGCUCAGCCUGUUUCUAUAAUAAUAGUAAAGUAGCAAGAAGCAAGUUUGGCAAUAAUAGGACUACACCCUGGGCACUUCUGCUUCAAUGGGCUGCGUGUGGGUGGAAAAUGCAUGGUGGGGCGUGUCCUUGUCAUCUGAAAGUCCCAGUGAGGUACGGAUGUCCAAAUAUGAAGUAUGGAUACUGUCAACCACGGGGUUGUGCCAGCAACAGCAAAAGAUAAGUGAAUGAGAAUUUUCUAUUUGUACACUGAAUGUCCCUGUAACUCAAAGAGAAUUCUUUUCUCUCUGAUUUGAGCAAAUUUAGACAGUGGGCAAGAAUAGCAUGAAAAAAUUACAAUCAGACUGAGAAUCUUAAUGAGGCAGAUUUUAAAUGAUUAUAAAAUUAUCGCUCUUUCCACUGACAGAUGAGCUCACAUUCCCUUUCCUCUUCAAUAUACCGAGUCUUCCGUGGUCCCUGCCCACAGUGAUUUCUUGACUGCCCAAAGUUUAGCUGUUAGGAGCUUGUGUGUCACAUACUUCCAUCAGUGUCUCGCUGGGACAGCCUCCACUUCUACUUUUCCCACUUGGGCCCUGGAUCAUCUCAUUUCCAUUAUGAACCCCGCUGUGGCUGCACCCCAAGUCUCACACUGUCCUCACUUGUCUUGAGUUAGGCCUUCCACUCCAUCUCUUUAGGCCCUGCUCUCCUUGACCCACUCAUAGUCUUUCGUUCUCUAUCCAGUUCCUUGCUUAGACCUUCUAACAGCUGUACUUCGCAAUGCAGCUCGGAAAUAACAAAUUGCAACUCUGAGACAUUUGCAACUCUAGCCGGUGCCUUUGUUUCCGGCCCUCCCUCUGCUUGCUGGCCUCUCACCUUCUCCUCACCAAGCUAAUCGGGCCCAGACUUCCUCUUCCCUUUAGGUUGUUACACAAAUUCUUCUCUGUCGCUCUCGAGCUCAUCCUCUAUUCUUAACUCAAGAUUCAAUCUAGCUCUUUCCUCUUUUGUUCUUGGAGACACAGGAGAAGACUUUUCUAGGCAUCCUUGAUGCUCUGGGCAUGUCUCUGUUAUUAUGCCCAUCGUAAUGUACUUUGUCUGCUUCUACAUUUUCAUUCUUCUCUGCCUCUGGGAAGGGACAAUGGACUUUUCACGAUAGAAUCCAUAGCCUCAAGAAUGACGCCUGAAGCAUGCAUGGAUGGAUAGUUGGAAAAAAGGAUGGAUAGACAACUGGAACACUGGGUGUUUGGUUGAAGAGUAGGGGGUAUGGCUGAAUGGUAGGAAAAUGAAUUGAUGAAUGCUUUAUAAUAACUGUAGAUGAAUGUUCAUUAAAAAAUGACCUUCUGCCUGGGGUUUUGUAAUUUUUAAUUGCCAAUGAGUCUAGCAUGAAGUCUGUUUCCCUACAUCCCUUUUAUAAACCAGUACACAUUUUUAUUUGUUAUUAUUCUGCAGCUCUUCAAAGAGUCUUGAGUUGGUCUUAAGUCAGCGUUCCUAAAACUUCAAGGAGACAAGAGAUUAAAGAACAUAUGAAAAAUGUUAUUCUAAAACCAGAGUUUGUUUUUAUGCUCAUUCCCAUCCUGGCUUGACUUCCAAUGAUAUGCAGUUUCCUAGCCCUUAUUAGGUUCUUCAUUAAGCACUUACAGGUACUUCUUUCAUAAAGUUGAUGAGGUGAGGUUAUUUGAAAAAAAUACAAUGUCUGUCUAUCUAUGUCUCUAUCUGUUUGUCAGGUGUUGUUUUUAAGGUUGGUUUUAUAUAUUUCCUGGAAUGAGCUUGUAGAAACAAGUGUUGUUAUCUAUCUUUUUUCUUGAAGCUCCAAGCACAAAUAAGGAUGUGUUCAAAAACCACUUAGCAGAGGCAGACACUAGAACUCACAGUCUCUGUUGCUAACUGGGGCAUACUUCUUAGCACCCUUGUAAAAUAUGAUUUUUAAGCCACCACAUUUGUGCUGGUCAGCAUUCUGUUACUGCAACAAAUACCUGAGAUAAUCAAUUUGUAAAGAGAAAAGGUUUGUUUUGGGUCAUGUUUUGGAGGUUUCAGCCCACGGUUGACUGAACUUACUACUUCUGAGCCUGUGGCAGUGCAGUACAUCAUGUAGGGCACAUGACCUAGUGAGGCCAUUCUCCUCAUGGUCAGAAAGUGAAAGACCAUCUUCUUCAAGGGCAUCUCUCCAGUGACCUGAUGACCAGCUGCUGGGCCACCUCCUCCUAAGGUUCUGCCACCUCCCGGCAGUGACACGCAGGGGACUAAACCUUAACACAUGAGACCUUAGGGGGACACUCCGGACCCAGACUGCAGCAGCAUCAAUAUACAGUGCAGAAUCACAGCUGUUGCAGGGGAAGGGCUGGUUCUAAGGCAAGUGACAAACUGGUUUCAUCAGGUGUGCCAAGUCAGUUAACAGCCAGUGUUCACUCCUGUGCAGAUGCAAACAUAAUCAGAUUAACUUUAUUUUAAGCAUCUAUUAUAUUGUCAUUAACAUGAAUGUACCUGUUCUAAGUUAAGUGCCGAAUCAACUCCAAGUCAGUUGGUGGUUGCUACACGGAGCGGGGAAGGACUCUGAGGCUCUGUCUGAGUUGUAAUUAUUCAGCGAGGUCCACCAUGGACAUAGGGUCUCCUGUAUACACUUGCUACAUGUUUUCCCUCCCUGCUGGAAGUCCACACCAGGUAUUCAUUGUGAUCAGUCCCCCUGCUGGCUCUCCACUGAUUUACUCCGACAGUUGACAAGGUCGUUUAUGGGAAAAUGUUCAUGGAGAUUUUUCUGUUUCUGG
rnacentral:lncRNA from 1 species